CCUCCUGUCGCUCAGCCCGCUUGCGGGAGCGGCCCCCGCUCCCCUCCUCCCCCUCCCUUGCCGAGGUGGCUUCCUGUUUGCCAGGGUUUGUGUGAGAGACAAUGAGCGAGGCCUUGCUCGGGUGGGCUCGGGCUGAGGGGGGGGGGGGAGAGCCUGGCCGCGGCGGCCGCCUAAACCGGCAAUUGGAAGGAAGAGAGGCCCCGAGGCAGCCGCGUCAGGGCUGUUGGCCUUUUCCCUCAUGAGAGAGCUUCGCUUUAUAAAGCGCUUGAGGCCUGCUCCCCUCAGAACGGUUCUCUCCUCGGGCCCUGCUCGAUUUCCGUGGGUUUGAAUUCUCCCUCGUUCCGGCUGCCACUCAGCGUUUUGUGACAGCGGCUCUAGGGAGGAGGAGGGAAAGUUGGAGGCUGCGCUUAUGGACCGAAAACAAAACCACCCCCUCCCCCCCAAAAAAUAAAAAAAAAUUCUCCAGUUAAAAUGUCGGCGCGCUGCGGGCCAAUCAGGCCUCGCUUGCGAAUGUUUUGAAGGCCCUGAAGUGCCAGACCCGGGCCUUGUGCCUACGUGUUAAUGUCAUCUGUUAACUUUUUUCCAGAAGCGGGUUUCUUUUUAAAAAAUAUUUCAGGCCUUAGUUCCCACGAGCUAAAAGGACAUUGAUUUCCAGUAUUUAGUCUCUGGUUAAGAGAGUUUUGAAUAUGAAUGGGGCUUCGUCUUGGCGAAUGAUGAGCUUAGUAAAACACUUGAGUUUUAAAAUUAUAAACAGUUGAGCAUCUCUAAUUUCUCUCUCCAUGGUUUUAUAUAAUCAGCUUUUAUAUUGCUUACUGUGAGUUCAUAGAGCAACAUAAAAAAAAUACUGCUUAAAGCACAAAAGCAGUAAAUCCACAUUUCUCAGUGGCAAAACUGCCGUGAUUAUAGUGAAAUUCCUUCCAGUAACACCUUAGAGACCAACUAAGUUUGUUAUUGGUAUGAGCUUUUGUGUGCAUGCACACUUCUUUAGAUACCUUUGUUUUUAUUUUGACUACAGCAGACCAACACAGCUACCUACCUGCAACUGUGAUUAUAAUGGUUCUGAAUUGUUCCUGAAGAAAGCAAUUCCAUCUCCCACUGAGAUCAAUGGCGAAAUAUCCAUUGAUUUAAUUCUAAUGGAUUGGGCGCUAAUCCUCAAGGAUUUCUUGAAUUAGGAUCUGUAUAAAUUUGUCAAAAUUACAUGGAUGGUUUUUUUAGAUGUGUUUUGGAUUUUUGUUAUUGAUAUGUGUCACACCAAAAUGCACUUCAACUAUAAAUAGCAUAGGGAUUGUUUUAUAUAUUUUUGCGUAGAUCCCUUGUUGAGUUUGAGGUUGGCUUGAAGGCAGUGUUGAACUCUUGAAGACAUGCGUUCUGAUACUGUCCAUGUUUGCUAAGAAUUAACUGAUACUGUUAAGUGGUGCUUCCUUUCUAGUAAGUGUACUCACAGGAUUCCAGCAGCUAUUUUACUUUGGGGUGGGGGACUUCAACAUACAAUCUGUGGUUAGUUCAGAACUUUUUGACAUCUUAGUGAAAAGCAUUUAGUGAGCAUAAUAACUGACACAGCACAUGAUGGGAAUAAGAUGGAUUCUAUAUGUUAUGAAAUACAGUCUGUUCAUCAGACAUAGAAAUUGCCAGGAUUUGGUCAUUAUGUUCUAAGUGUAGGUACAAUAGACCAAUAUACAUGAGACUUCCUCCUUUUCUAUGUCUAUUUGUGGCUGGCCAAGAAUGGAUGGUGUUCAUGUUAUCAGAUGGUGUGCAGCUAUAAAACUGAUCAAAGCAAAAUAAUUUUUCUGUUUCAGUUUUGGAUUACUUUCAGUUAAGGCAAGGGAAUAGUCAUGAAUUCAUCCAUAUUUAAAAUAUUGCAUAUUUUCAUUUUAAAGCACAAGCGAGUUUCCCCCUUAUUUUGGUUGUGGGCGCAAGAAAGCUGAAAGGAGACUUGCAGCAGAAGAGGGAGAUCUGGCUUGACAGCACCAUCACCACAACUACCUCCACCUUGCCUAUCAGCUCAGACUCCGCCCCCCCCUUAGUGCUCCUAGCGACUCAUUGGCUGCAGUGCUCUGUGGCCUAGACACUUUCUGCCUCAAGCCAACAGCAAACCAUGUAAAUGAAUAAUAAUGUAAACAUGAAAAUUAAUACUGAUUUAUGAGACAUUUGGGGCAGCUAAUGUGAAAGUAGCUGUUGGGCACUGUUCACUGAACCCCAGUUCAUCAGUGAAAGGGAACCGUGGACACACACAGCUUCAGAGGUUAGAUGUAGUAACUACUCUCAGCAGAGGGAAUACAGAAAUCAAAAGCUUGCAACCAAUUCAAAACACUGAAAAUCUUUCCUAAAAAGGGUUGUCUUGGUAAUAUGGCGAACUGCCAUUAGGGAAGAAGCAAGGCCGGCCUUGGGAGGGAUCAGUUCAGGCCGCAGUAGCGAGAAAGGCCUUUUCUCUUAUCCCAACCAGAUGUAUUUUCAGGAGACGGAAGAGGGCUUCCAUUGAUAGUUCUUAAUAUGUGGGAAAGGUUGUGUGGGAGAAGAUGUCCUUCAGAUAGCAUGUUCACAAACAGUAACGGUUAAUGGAUGUUUUUACAAUCUUUGAAACUGCCAAGAAAAAUAUUGUCCCUGGAAUAUAUAAAUAACUGUAAGCAAACAGUGUCAUGUUUGCCCCAGUUUGUUCUUUUAGAUAGAACUUCUUCAAGUUUGAUAAAAGGUCAUGGAUUCAGUUUUAAUGAAGAGUGAAAGUAGAUUUGAAUGUGUCUCUUUGUAUUAUGUUUUCUAGGGGACACAAUAUAUAUAUAUACAGUGGACCCUCUGGAUACGAAUUAAAUUUGUUCCGGGGGUCCGUACUUAACCUGAAAAGUCUGUAACUGGAGGCGCCGCUUCUGUGCACACAUGCGGCAUUAUGAGCGCUUCUGCGCACGCGCGCGGUGAAACCCAGAAGUAUACACUUCCAGGUUUGCCACGUUCGCAACCCAAAAGUUACAUAUCCAGAGCAGUAUGUAACUCUCUCUCUCUGUGUGUGUGUGUGGUGUUGUUUAGUCAUGUCCAACUCUUCGUGACCCCAUGGACCAGAGCACGCCAGGCACUCCUGUCUUCCACUGCCUCCCACAGUUUGGUCAAACUCAUGUUAGUAGCUUCGAGAACACUGUCCAACCAUCUCGUCCUCUGUCGUCCCCUUCUUGUGCCCUCAAUCUUUCCCAACAUCAGGAUCUUUUCCAGGGAGUCUUCUCUUCUCAUGAGGUGGCCAAAAUAUUGGAGCCUCAGCUUCAGGAUCUGUCUUUCCAGUGAGCACUCAGGGCUGAUUUCCUUAAGAAAUAUUAUAUUAUAUAUUAUUAUAUUAUAUAUUAUUACAUUAUAUUAUGUGUCCUCCAGAAAACAUAAUACGUACAAAGAGACAUAUUCAAAUAUAUAUACACACACAUGCUCAAAAUAUCUGAUUAAAUGGAAAACGGCUUUAAUUUUUUUUUAUUGCCUUUCAUCUAUCCUGUUAAAGUUUUUAGUAUAGUGCCUGUCUGACUGCAAAUCUGUCUACGCUACUGUGCAAUGGUAUUGUGUUACACACCACAUAGAUAAAGCUGUCAAACUUGUGUUUUGAAUACAUUUUCAGGAUUUGAUGAGUAGGGCUUUUCAAAUGGGGUUGAGACUCUGCAUGUCUGGUGCAUGCAUACUCUUUCAACACAGGAGCAACAGUUUUCAAAGGUUGCUUAUAGUGAUACACACUCUAUACAUGUAUAAUGUUGAGAACCACAGUCAUUUGCAGAUAUCAAACAAACACCAAAGAACAAAUUAAACUCCAGAUCAGAGAAAAGGUCCAACAAUGACAUGAAAGCGGAGUUCAAUUUUUAUUUAACCAACUGAACCCUAGGCCUAGCCUGUGCUGUGGUAUAGAAUAAUAUGGAGUCAUUAAAACACUUGAGCUUUGAGAGCAGCUUUCAGUACAGUGAUAGAUGUCACUGGCAAUUCAUGGUAUCUGUUUCAUAUGUAUUUUUACAGCCAUCCCUAUAGUAAAGUUUCGUUGUGGUUUACAUGAAAAGAGCCUGCUACAUCAGGCCCGUGGCUCACUUAGUCCAGCAUCCUGUUUUCACAGUGGCAAACCAGAUGCAUGUGGAAAGCAUGCAAGCAGGGCAUGAACACAGCAGCACUCUGCCCACUUGUGACUACAGGCAAUGAGUAUUCAGAAGUGGAACACAGCUAUUGUGACUACUAGCCAAUGAUGAACUUUAUCCUCCAUGAAUUUGUCUAAUCCUCUUUUAAAGCCAUCCAAGUUGGUGGCUCCCCAUUUAUAGAAGGUUCUCCCCAGGGAAAUUUUGCUAGUGCCUUUAUUAUACACAUUUAGGUGCCAGGCUAUAACAUUCCUCUUCAGCCUGGCUGAUUAAUACCCAAUGCCCUUCUAAAUGUGUUUGGGGAGGGGAGGGGCGUUCAUUGGUUUGUGUCUUUAAUGUUCUUGCUUUUCUUAUGUAUUUCGUAUUUUUAUGUUGUGAACCGUCCUGAGAUGAAGGCGGGUAUACAGAUUUAAUAAAUGAAAUAAAAAUAACUGCUUUGGUAGUAUUUGUAAAUCUAUAUAAAGAUUGUAUGUUUAUGUCAAUUGUGGCAGAAUAACAAAAGAAUUUGAUUUUUUUAAGAUAGGAAUGGUUUGGUAGUAUGUUAGGUGACAAUGAAAGCUGAAUAGUAAAGCCAUGCCACCAGUUAAAUGGGACAAAGGUCUGAAACAUACCGUAUUUUUCGCCCCAUAGGACGCACCGGCCCAUAGGACACAUCAAGUUUUUUUGGGGGGGGGAAAUAAAGGGAAAAAAAAUUAUUUCCCCCCCCCAGGCGCUUGUGGGGCCGGCAGCGGGGAGAAGCGCUCUUCUCCCCGCAGUCCGCCUUCAGACCAGGUCCGGGGACAGCGGGGAGAAGCGCUCUUCUCCCUGCCACCGCCUUGAGAUCAGGUCCGGGGACAGCUGGGAGACGCACUGCGCCUCCCAGCUGUCCCCGGAGCUUGCGGGGCAGGCAGCGGGGAGAAGCGCUCUUCUCCCCGCCGCCCGCCUUCAGAUCAGCUCUGGGGACAGCAGGAAGACGCACUGCGUCUCCCAGCUGUCCCCGGAGCUUGCGGGGAAGGCAGCGGGGAGAAGCACUCUUCUCCCCGCCGCCCGCCUUCAGAUGGAGGUCCGGGGACAGCAGGAAGACGCGCUGCGUCUCCCAGCCGUCCCCGGAGCUUGUGGGGCAGGCAGCGGGGAGAAGCACUCUUCUCCCCACUGCCCGCCUUCAGAUGGAGGUCCGGGGACAGCAGGAAGACGCGCUGCGUCUCCCAGCUGUCCCCGGGGCUGGCGGCAGGGUCUCCCCGCCGUCAGCCUCCAAACCACUUCGGGAGACAGCGGGAUGGCGGCGUUCCGCCUCCCUCUGUCCACCGACCUUGUGGGGCUGGCGCUGGGGCUCUCCUGAAGCCUGGAGAGCGAGAGGGUCGGUGCGCACCGACCCCUCUCGCUCUCCAGGCUUCAGUGAAAGCCUGCAUUCGCCCCAUAGGACACAUACACAUUUCCCCUUCAUUUUUGGAGGGGAAAAAGUGCAUCCUAUAGGGCGAAAAAUACGGUAGUCCUUAGAGUGGAAAAUUCAUCAGCCAUGCUGAAACUCCCUUCCCCCCCCCCCCCCAAAAAUAAGGAAAAUUAGCUAGGUGGAAAAUGUAAGAUAGCAGACAUUACCACAUUUUCCCUUAUCAAAGGCCCAGUAAGGUGUUUUUGAUACCUUAAGUAGAAGUAAUUGUGAUAAAGGAACCCAUAUUGUUUGACAUUAAACAUAAGUUGGCACUGUUAGAUCCCCCAACAUAUUUUUUAAAAAAGCUUUUAUGGGUUAUUGUGAAUAUAUUUUAUUUGAAACAUUUGUAAUUUUUUACUUUUUUACUUUUUUUUACAGUGGCAUGUGUAAUGUACGCAAAUCUCCCAGCAGCCAAACAAUGCCAACCCCUGUACUGAAAGUAGUUCCAGGGGCUCAGCCAGAAAGAGGAGACGGGAAGACUUGAUGCAUGGCCUGUGUAUAUUGAUGAAGAGUAUAAGGAUACCAGAAGUGCCUUUCACAUAGACUUGUGGAAUAAAAUGAAUGAAGAGUCAAGCACUGGAGCGCACUGUAUAAAUACGGAAUUUGUAUGAGAAUGUCGAUUGGGAUAGUAGUCCGGAAGGUAAUGUAUUUUCACAAAAUACGCAAGGCUACCUUUGCAUCUAGAAGCAAGCUGUACGUAGGAACAAAAAAGAAGACAAAAUGGUAGUGCCGUGUGCUGAGCGAUGCAACAAAAUUGUCGUAGUCCAUCACCACUGACUCUGUAUCAAGAACCAGAUGUGAUGCCCUUCAUAAUAAAAAUGUAUGUGUAUUUAAGGUGCAAGGAACCCCAAGUCAUGGCAGUAUUGUCUAUAUAUCACCAAGUGAUUAACUCCAGAUGACAGCAAUUCCAGAGGUUCCACAAAUGUUUUUCAAGCAUAUUCAUUAUGGUGCAUUUGGUUGAAAGACCCAAUAAUAUUAGAGGGCUUUCUAAAAUACUCUCAGGUUUCUUACAGGCUUUAUUCAUGGAACAAAAUUAGCCACAAUAAGGGAGGUGUUUCCAAACAAGCAGCAAGUGGACAGUGAUAAACAGUUAUUCAACAGGGUUGCCAUGUGUUUGCAUGCUAUUCCAUUUACUGAAGCUGGGUUGAUGUGACAAACACACAUUGAAGCACAAAAUAAUUCAAAAGAACCCAAGGGCCUAUGCAAACAUAUAACAUAGCUCAGAAAUACUGCUGUUAAAGGCUUUUGAAAUGACUGUGAUGAUCCAAACAGAUUAUAACAUGGACAUCACUGGUGUUUUCCAUCAUUACUGGGAAGCAAAUAUCAUUUCAGGCUCAAGUUUAAAACACUAUUUUAGAGGUCUGGUAAGAAUGUUAUUAUCUUGACAGAAACGGAUGAGUUGACUCAGAUACCCCUAUAUUGAGAGAUCAGAAAUAGCAAAGGAAAACAUAUUUUUCACCUAGCAAAAUUUCCCUCAAGUUUUGGGGUGAGUCAUCUUGGCCCAAUAUACUCUCCACCCAUUUAAGGUACUAAAACAACCUUCAAAAACUCCUUUUCCUUUUGCUCAAAACAAGUACAAGCUGAAAGCUGUUUCAAUGCACAUGUUGGAGAUCCUUACCACUUUGUAUUGAUACUACUGAUGAUACAUUCUACUCAAUAAAAUUAUAUUUUUAUACUUACACAUU